AAUGGGGGAAACCUGAUGCAGCGACGCCGCGUGGAGGAAGAAGGUUUUCGGAUUGUAAACUCCUGUCGUUAGGGACGAUAAUGACGGUACCUAACAAGAAAGCACCGGCUAACUACGUGCCAGCAGCCGCGGUAAAACGUAGGGUGCAAGCGUUGUCCGGAAUUACUGGGUGUAAAGGGAGCGCAGGCGGACCGGCAAGUUGGAAGUGAAAACUAUGGGCUCAACCCAUAAAUUGCUUUCAAAACUGCUGGCCUUGAGUAGUGCAGAGGUAGGUGGAAUUCCCGGUGUAGCGGUGGAAUGCGUAGAUAUCGGGAGGAACACCAGUGGCGAAGGCGACCUACUGGGCACCAACUGACGCUGAGGCUCGAAAGCAUGGGUAGCAAACAGGAUUAGAUACCCUGGUAGUCCAUGCCGUAAACGAUGAUUACUAGGUGUUGGAGGAUUGACCCCUUCAGUGCCGCAGUUAACACAAUAAGUAAUCCACCUGGGGAGUACGACCGCAAGGUUGAAACUCAAAGGAAUUGACGGGGGCCCGCACAAGCAGUGGAGUAUGUGGUUUAAUUCGAAGCAACGCGAAGAACCUUACCAGGUCUUGACAUCCGAUGCAUAGCGCAGAGAUGCGUGAAGUCCUUCGGGACAUCGAGACAGGUGGUGCAUGGUUGUCGUCAGCUCGUGUCGUGAGAUGUUGGGUUAAGUCCCGCAACGAGCGCAACCCUUAUUGCCAGUUACUACGCAAGAGGACUCUGGCGAGACUGCCGUUGACAAAACGGAGGAAGGUGGGGAUGACGUCAAAUCAUCAUGCCCUUUAUGACCUGGGCUACACACGUACUACAAUGGCGUUUAACAAAGAGAAGCAAGACCGCGAGGUGGAGCAAAACUCAAAAACAACGUCUCAGUUCAGAUUGCAGGCUGCAACUCGCCUGCAUGAAGUCGGAAUGCUAGUAAU
rnacentral:rRNA from 1 species